rnacentral:rRNA from 1 species
ACUCCUACGGGAGGCAGCAGUGGGGAAUAUUGCACAAUGGGCGCAAGCCUGAUGCAGCCAUGCCGCGUGUAUGAAGAAGGCCUUCGGGUUGUAAAGUACUUUCAGCAGUGAGGAAGGUGGGUAUGUUAAUAGCAUAUUCAUUUGACGUUAGCUGCAGAAGAAGCACCGGCUAACUCCGUGCCAGCAGCCGCGGUAAUACGGAGGGUGCGAGCGUUAAUCGGAAUUACUGGGCGUAAAGCGCAUGCAGGUGGUUUGUUAAGUCAGAUGUGAAAGCCCGGGGCUCAACCUCGGAAUUGCAUUUGAAACUGGCAAACUAGAGUACUGUAGAGGGGGUAGAAUUUCAGGUGUAGCGGUGAAAUGCGUAGAGAUCUGAAGGAAUACCGGUGGCG